CAAGUGUUUUAUAUAAAUAGGUGGAAAUGUUCAACGGGGGCAACCUGAGAUCAUGUGUACGACAUUUUUUGUUUUUGAUAAUUUUAGUAAUACAUAUGUUCUCAGGUCGCCCCUGUAGAACUAUUUUCCAUCGUACGAUUGGAUAAGAUUCUUGAUCAAGAUUGUUGGUGUCGGCAAUGCUGGAUUUAAAGGAUUGAUCAAGGUUAACCAUUACUAAUAUUUAUUAUACAAAAUUACUUGCAAUUAGAUUUUAAAUUAUGUAAUAGUGUGAAAUUCUACAUGUCUUACAUUAUCCUAAAAGUAGUUUCUUAUUUAUUAUUCCAAAAAAGUUAGAAGAUUUCAAAUGCUCAGAAUUUAUUUUACAAAAACUCUCUGUAGUAGCGAGUAGCGACAGGUAAAAGAUACGCCUUAAGGCGUAUAAAACGUAUUUACUCAAAUUAGAAGUCGCAUUUAUCAAUUGCGAUUUAUACUUCACACUCCAAAAGUUAACAUUUCCGACUCUAUAAACUAACUAGAUGACUUUUUUUUUCUUCUUCUUGUUUUCUUCCUUUUAAUAUUUCUUGGUCUAUUGCUAAUUACACACUUUCUACUUUCUUUAGGGAAAGAAGAAAGAGAAUAGGCUUUUAUGUAAUAACGUAUAAAACCAUAAUUAUAUUUAUUGUUAUUUAUCUUUUGCAUUAUGUGCAUUUUAAUUUUUCUGAAA